rnacentral:lncRNA from 1 species
CUACAUGCAGAGGAAAAUUCCUUCUAUGGACUAAGCCCUUCACUUUCUUAACCUCAGUUUUCAAGGUUAGAUGUCCAAGCAAAAUUUUAAGAAACUUCUGCUACAAUAAGAUGAUUCCCUUCUCUGAAAGGAAUAACACAUGUUCCGGAAGACGGCCUUUCUUGGGAAACUCACUGAAAAAUGAAUUAAGGGACUUGCCCAACUGUGUCUCGGGGCAGGAGGUAAGAAGGGCAUGACAGCCACGGGACCUUUUCCACCCAUUGACCGACACUCCCUCUUUCCCCAAUUCUGCCCUACAACGUCAGAGACCGGAUCAAAUUUCCCUACUUGCUCUGUCUUCACCUCCCCUUUCUCCCCUGCUCUGUGACGCAUGAUGUCCCUGGAGAGUCCCCCACAUCAUCACAGAACAAAAACAAAAACAGCAGAGAAAAAAUGCCAAACCUCGCUCCCCCUGCCCCCUCUACUAUGAGUCGCCCACACGAUGAGGGUGCUUGGUUUCAAAUACUAGAAAUGAGAUGGCCUUUUUUUUCUUUUCACUUCUGCUAUUUACACAGAAGUGCCUCGGUGCUAAACCCACCAUAAUUCAAGUUUAUUUUUGGAUUUCUCAGCUGUAGAAAUCUACAGAAUGCCAAAAUGGGCUGAAGCAACUCUGUCAAUAGGAGGAAGGAGAGGGUGGAAGGGAAUGAAUGUUGUCGAG